UGUUUCAGCAGCACAUAUACUGUACUAAAAUUGGAAUGAUACAGAAAAGAUUAGCAUGGCCCCUGCACAAGGAUAACACGCAAAUUUGUCAAAUGUUCCAUAUUUUU